CUACGGGCCGCUCCAGUGGGGAAUAUUGCACAAUGGGCGCAAGCCUGAUGCAGCCAUGCCGCGUGUAUGAAGAAGGCCUUCGGGUUGUAAAGUACUUUCAGCGGGGAGGAAGGGAGUAAAGUUAAUACCUUUGCUCAUUGACGUUACCCGCAGAAGAAGCACCGGCUAACUCCGUGCCAGCAGCCGCGGUAAUACGGAGGGUGCAAGCGUUAAUCGGAAUUACUGGGCGUAAAGCGCACGCAGGCGGUUUGUUAAGUCAGAUGUGAAAUCCCCGGGCUCAACCUGGGAACUGCAUCUGAUACUGGCAAGCUUGAGUCUCGUAGAGGGGGGUAGAAUUCCAGGUGUAGCGGUGACAUGCGUAGAGAUCUGGAGGAAUACCGGUGGCGAAGGCGGCCCCCUGGACGAAGACUGACGCUCAGGUGCGGAAGCGUGGGGAGCAAACAGGAUUAGAUACCCCUGUAGUC
rnacentral:rRNA from 1 species